rnacentral:rRNA from 1 species
UGGGGGAUAUUGCGCAAUGGGGGAAACCCUGACGCAGCAACGCCGCGUGAAGGAAGAAGGUUUUCGGAUUGUAAACUUCUUUUAUUAAGGACGAAUAAUGACGGUACUUAAUGAAUAAGCUCCGGCUAACUACGUGCCAGCAGCCGCGGUAAUACGUAGGGAGCAAGCGUUGUCCGGAUUUACUGGGUGUAAAGGGUGCGUAGGCGGCUUUGCAAGUCAGAUGUGAAAUCUAUGGGCUCAACCCAUAAACUGCAUUUGAAACUGUAGAGCUUGAGUGAAGUAGAGGCAGGCGGAAUUCCCCGUGUAGCGGUGAAAUGCGUAGAGAUGGGGAGGAACACCAGUGGCGAAGGCGGCCUGCUGGGCUUUAACUGACGCUGAGGCACGAAAGCGUGGGUAGCAAACAGG